rnacentral:snRNA from 1 species
GGAUGUGAGGGCGGUUGGGCUGCAACAUCAGUCACCCUACUGAUUGCCAGGGUUGAUUUGGCUGAUCUGGCUGGCUAAGCAGGUGUCCCCUUCCUCCCUCAAAACUCCAUGUGUGUCCCUCCUGAAGCUGCAUGCUCGGUCGAAGAAGAGGACGACCUUCCCUGAACAGAGGAGGACCGGUCUUCAGUCAAGUGCAUGCAAAUAGCUAGGCUCCCCUGCUAAAACCUCCAAACAAGCUCUCAAGGCAGGGUCUCACUCUAGCCCACGCUGGCCUUGAACUCACCGCGAUCCUCCUAUUUCUGCAUCCCAAGUUCUAGGACUAAAUGCGUAUGC